rfam:Siratro latent polerovirus isolate 5271, complete genome
CAGCUAGCCCGGAAUUUGUUGUUGCAAUCGCGGGAAAAGAAAGUCAACUACAU